UACGGAGGGAGCUAGCGUUAUUCGGAAUUACUGGGCGUAAAGCGCACGUCGGCGGCUUUGUAAGUUAGAGGUGAAAGCCUGGAGCUCAACUCCAGAACUGCCUUUAAGACUGCAUCGCUUGAAUCCAGGAGAGGUGAGUGGAAUUCCGAGUGUAGAGGUGAAAUUCGUAGAUAUUCGGAAGAACACCAGUGGCGAAGGCGGCUCACUGGACUGGUAUUGACGCUGAGGUGCGAAAGCGUGGGGAGCAAACAGG
rnacentral:rRNA from 1 species